AAGUAUUUUCAGCUUGAUUUUUUGAAUUGCGUCUGGCCCUCCCCAUCUGAGACAAUUGCUAGAGCUCAGUCGUCUACUUUUUGUAGUUUCUUGAUCAACCACUGGGGGAGCUCUUCCACCACACUUGGAAGGUUCCCCUGACAGGGGUAGCUUUUGGGGAAAGUGGGUUUUCUUGUCUCGCCCCUCCUCCAGGGGUGCAGCCUACCACUUUGGGCAAGAGAGCUGGGGGCUGAGGGGAGGCGGUAUCUCCCCAGUCUGCCCUGCACCCGCCCCAGUGGCUGUGACUCCCCUGGGCUGCUAGACUUCUCAGUAGAUCCUUGAUGGCGCCAGGCCUGAUGAGCCGAUCGCAGAUUGUGUACGGGCGGGAUUUGCCAGGGGAAACUCUAGGCUGGGCGAGGGCGGGGGACUUGCCCGCUGACGGCUGGGGUGUGGCCCCCCUCAAUGGCAAUCGCUAGCCCACUUGUAGGGCACCAGUACCGGGGGCGACUGAUUAGGGUGCAGCCGGUGCCAGGUUGGGGGCCUGGGUCAAUAGGACGCCUGCAGGUUCCUCCAGGCCGCCUGCCCGACCGCCUGUUCAGUGGGAGCGGAGGCUUUUACUGACCCGCCCUGUGCGGUUUUAUUCGCCCGGGGCAGUUCCAGCUUAGAGCCCCCGCUUAGUCUCCCUGGUUACGCGGGGGGACCUCUAACCGCCUCCCUGGUCCACAUAGAUCAGUUUCCUCCCGUCCUGGAGCCAUCCUGGCACGGGGCUGGGGGGACCACGCCGCCGCCUCUCACCAUCAACCGCACCCUCCAGCAGCCUUUUCUGCUUCUGCGACUUCGCACCAGGAAAAGAAAAUUUAGAGCCACAGAAGGAGACACCGGAGAUGAACACGCAGAGCAGAGGCCGUGUGAGGACACAGGAAGAAGGUCGCCCCUGCAGGCCAAGGACAGAGGCCUCAGGAGAAAGCAGGAUGCAGACACAACUAUGUUCUUGCAGCUUCAGAACUGCCAGAAGGCCCUUCUAUGAGGUGAAUCCACUCUCCACUCCUGACACCCAUCUGACCCUUUAAAGAACUGGAGAAAUGACCAGCGGGAGGCCCUGAGGCUCAGGGUUGGACAAGAUCUGAGAGUCGCUGGGAAUGGAGAAGCACCUGCAUCCUCUGCUCACCAGGCAGCCCAACAAGCCACAAGAAAUGAGGAAGCAGAUUUGCAUGAAGAGCCUCCCCUCCUGUGAUAAGCCAGCCCCGCAGGUCCCUCCCCAGCUGUGGGUCAGAGGCAGAGCUCCGGGUGUCACCAUGGCCUGGACCCCUCUCCUGCUCCCCCUCCUCACUCUCUGCACAGGUUCUGUGGCCUCUCAGCUGACUCAGGUGCCUGCAGUGUCUGUGGCCUUGGGACAGACGGCCAGCAUCACCUGCCAGGGAGAUGGCAUAAGGAGCUAUUAUGCAAACUGGUACCAGCAGAAGCCAGGCCAGGCCCCUGUGCUGGUCAUCUAUGGUGACAACAACCGGCCGUGAGGGAUCCCUGAGCGAUUCUCUGGCUCCAAAUCGGGGAACACGGCCACGCUGACCAUCAGCAGGGCCCAGGCUGACGACAAGGCUGACUAUCACUGUCAGUCCUUUGACAGCAGUGGUACUCACCCCACGGUGACACAGGCACAUAGGGAAGUGAGACACAAACCCCUUCAAUGUCUGUGACACUCUUCUCCUCUAGCCCUGGGACAACUCAUGGCAGGACUGGCCUAGGUCACUCAGAUCUGAGACCCCAGGCGCCUGUCCCUGCAGCCCUCCAGGCAGGCUCUGCACAGCUGGGUCAGGAAAGAUCGGGCUGUCAGGCCUUGAUGCCUGGUUCUGCGUGCACCAGAGUGAGACUGGGGAGAAACGAUUGUGACCAUGAUCAAAGGAAGGAAGGAGCGAGGGACACAGGUUUCAUGUGGUUCUGGGGCCUAGAUACCCAUACAUGGGGUGACUGAGCCUGGCCCAAUGCCUGUGCUCAUGCCCAAAUAUCCUAGAAUAUUCCUCUGAGGCACCCAGGGUCGCCCCCGCUAAACCGUGCAGGGCUGGGACUCGGAGCAGAGAAGACCAGCGUGGUGCUCGCUGCAGAUCUGCUCCUCAGGGGGACCCGCCGGCCCUCUGCUGCUGGGGUCCCGGGCAGCUCCUGACUGUGCCCCUGUGGGAGUUGCUCAGGCUGCAGGACUCCCCCACCCCGGUUAUGCCCCGUCUCAGAGUGUGGCCAACAGCGAAUAAUCGCCUGAGACCCCCGUACCAAGGCCCUGUGUCAGGGUAGCAUGAGCUCCGAUGGCCUCCCAGCUGGGGCCUCCAUCGUAGCCGCAUUCCAGGUUCCCAGCUCUGCCUCCCAACCUCCCUCCAGAGAUUAUAUAUUAUGCCCCUCUGAGUGCAGUUUACCACUCAGUGUCUGAUUCCACAGAACAGAAAAUACAGAGCACCCUACAGAGAAGAGUAUGGAAGAAGAGAGAGCUGCUCAGAGACACGGCUCUGGAAUCUGCAGUUAUUCCUGAGUGCUCAUGAGCAUGUGUGGAAGGAGAAGAAUCACUGAAAGACAUUUGAGGGAACAUUUGCAGGACACACACACACACACUCACACACACACACAAUCUGGACUGUGCUUGUUCCAACAACCAGAGUGGACAAGCACCUAAUUAGGGGCACGAAAUUGACCUGUUAGAAGAGCUUGGCCCCACUACCAGGGAGACACAGCUGGAGUCUACGGUCCUCUCCUCUCCCAACGUGGGCAGUCUAAGAAUAAUCUCAGUGAGGAUCCAACUGUCUUCCAGUUACUUCUCUGAAUCCAAGAAUAAAAACCAAAAAUAUAUAGAGAAAUAUAAAAAUGCCAUGCACUCCACAAAAAAAGUUUACACUGUCUAGCAUCCUGUCCAACUUCCUUCAAGAAAAUAGGAAAAUAUAAAACAUAAGAAGCAAGAAAGUUGAACACUCUCUACUGGCCCUGAAUUUGCACAGGUAGUAGACUUUUUAGAUUAGGAUGCAAAAGAAGAUAUUAUAAUCAUAUCCCAUUUAUUCUGGAGGGCACAGAAUUGACCGAACAUGUGAAGGGAAAAAACUAAAGACAUUAAAAAAACACCUAAAUUGAAUUUCUAGAAAUGACCCCCAGAACGUGUGUGGUAAAGGAUACAUUGAAUGAGCCUGACAGCCUAGUAGAAGCUGCCAAAGAAGAGAUGGGUGAACUUGGUGACGCAGCAAUAGGAACUCUUGGUAACGACACACAGGAAAAAGGUUGAAAGAACAGCACACCGGUGAGUUAUAGGACAAAGGGAUCCAGCCAAGAAUGAUAUAGUAGGAGUCUCUGAAGGAAAGAAGUUGGGAAAAUUGAUGAAAAAGUAUUUAAUGAAAUCAUGACCAAAAUGCUCCAAAGUUCUUAAAAAUUAUAAACCUCCGGUUCCAAGAAUUGCAACCAAACCCACGAUCCAAAUAAACACAUUCAGAAGUGUAAAUGCAUUAAGAAAAUUGAGCAUGAGGAUAUCACAGUGAAAAAGGAUCAGUGUUUAGUUCGGUCAUUUAUAGGUUCUAAAUUUUACUCUAUAGCAAGAAGGACAUUGAGGAAGGAGACAUUCUUAAUCGCCAGAAGCUGAGCUCUCCACUAAACCAGGGCUUCAGAAAGCAAGUAUCUUCUUCAGAGCUAGAGUCGUUCCUGAUAAUAGGAAAAUGGAUAUAAGCGCAAUCCUUGAGUCAUCCAGUGGUGAUGAUGAUGGUGGUCCGGCUGAAGAAAAUGAUGAAGAGAAGAAAAAGAGGCCAAAAAGGCAGAAGAAGAGGUGCCUGAGGAAGAACUCGACCCUGCAGGGAGGGACAACUCCCUCCAACAGCUUUACAAGUUCAUGGAAGACAGAGGUUCCCAAUCAACAAGAACACUCAACAAACACACAUCUGGUCAAAUGACUAAGGAACAGCGAUGCAGGGACACUAUUAAAGGAGAGGCGGGCAUGGUGGCUCAGACCUGUCACCCUAGCACUGGGGGAGGCUGAGGUGGGAGCAUGGCUUGA